rnacentral:sRNA from 1 species
UCCGUCUUUUGCAUUUUCUGGGACAAUCUGCUUGUGUAACUGUUCUGUAACAGAUAGAAUCUCAUAUGGUUGUGUGUCCAAAAAAAGCAUCUUGCGCAGGGUCAGGUGCCCACCGACGAAAUGUAGCGUUCCAUUAACAUACAGGUAACAACUAAAAACCACGCAAACCAAACCCGUGUUGAACUAACAGUCAUUGCAAAGAUCAGACUGAUGUGCGCAUUCUCCGAGAGAAGUAGUGAACGAAAAAGAGCAAAAAAUUUAACAGUGGAAAAAUGUGAAAUAAAAUUAGCAAGGAAGAAAUUUUAUGUGCCGCAACAGCAGUAGUAAAGCAGAAUAUGAAGCCCAACACAUCCCAAAAUUUUGGAACCUUUUAAAUUGAAAUGCGAACUACGAUUUAUACAGCGAUGGAGUAUUUUAUAUAAUUUUGG